GUAGGUGAAUCUGUGGAAGGAUUAUUAUCGAGUGAGGGUUUUCUGGGUUUAACUUUUUAUUUGUGUUUAUUUAUUUUGUUGUUUUGGUGGGUUUGUUUUAUGGUCGUUGGGGGGCAUUCGCCCCCGGGCCCGCGCCCGCCGAAGACACCAUUGAACUCUGUCUGAAGAUUGCAGUCUGAGCGAUUAACUAAAUCAGUUAAAACUUUCAACAACGGAUCUCUUGGUUCCG
rnacentral:misc_RNA from 1 species